GACGAACGCUGGCGGCGUGCUUAACACAUGCAAGUCGAACGGAGUGGCGAACGGGUGAGUAACACGUGGGUGAUCUGCCUUGCACUUCGGGAUAAGCUUGGGAUACUGGGUCUAAUACCGGAUAGUGCAAGAUGAGCUGGCGGACUCUCAGCUUGUUGGUGGGGUAAUGGCCUACUAAGGCGUCGACGGGUAGCCGGACGGAGAGGGUGUACGGACACAUUGGGACUGAGAUACGGCCCAGACUACUACGGGAGGAAGCAGUGGGGAAUAUUGCACAAUGGGCGGAAGCCUGAUGCAGCGACGCCGCGUGGGGGAUGAAGGACUUCGGGUUGUAAACUCCUUUCGACAGUGACGCGGUACCUGUAUAAGAAGCGCCGGCUAACUACGUGCCAGCAGCCGCGGUAAUUC
rnacentral:rRNA from 1 species